GAUCCGAUGUUUUGGCGUGUGCGCGCACGCAGUCUCGCGUGCUCGCGUGCAAGGUGUCUGCCGGCCUCAUCCCGUUGAACAAUUCACCUUCCUGGAUUCGUGAACUCCGGUUCGCGACGAAACCGCAAAAGAAGGAAUUGGGACAACAAACAAAGCCACGAUGAUCCUGGAAAAAAAACCUCGUCGAGGUCGUCAGGUGGUGACCUAAGCCUUGGCGGGCCUCAUGGGUGGGUGCAGGCCUCCGACCCCCAACUCCAGGGAAAGUUAAGUCAGAAUUUCAUACAAUUCUUCCUUUUUUUUUAAACUCUAAAAUUGAUUUAUGAAUAAAUUUAUGAUAGAGAACGAUAUCCAAGUAUGUUGUGGCCUUUAAUUCAGUUGCACAAGUUCACAUCAUCAUCAUCAUCAAGUUUGCGUGUUUGUGGCCCAACAACGUCCAGGCUUACGUAAGCCCCCCGACGGACGGACAAAAAAAAAAAAAAAAGCCCAAACACAUUUUUAAUACGCUGCUGCUGCUGCUGCU